AGUGAACGCUGGCGGUAGGCCUAACACAUGCAAGUCGAACGGCAGCACAGUAAGAGCUUGCUCUUACGGGUGGCGAGUGGCGGACGGGUGAGGAAUACAUCGGAAUCUACUUUUUCGUGGGGGAUAACGUAGGGAAACUUACGCUAAUACCGCAUACGACCUACGGUUGAAAGCAGGGGAUCUUCGGACCUUGCGCGAUUGAAUGAGCCGAUGUCGGAUUAGCUAGUUGGCGGGGUAAAGGCCCACCAAGGCGACGAUCCGUAGCUGGUCUGAGAGGAUGAUAAGCGACACUGGAACGGAGACACGGUCCAGACGCCUAAGGGAGGCAGCAGUGGGGAAUAUUGGACAAUGGGCGCAAGCAUGAUCCAGCCAUACCGCGUGGGUGAAGAAGGCCUUCGGGUUGUAAAGCCCUUUUGUGGGGAAAGAAAAGCAGCAGGUUAAUACCCAGCUGUUCUGACGGUACCCAAAGAAUAAGCACCGGCUAACUUCGUG
rnacentral:rRNA from 1 species